ensembl:lncRNA LINC02301 long intergenic non-protein coding RNA 2301
CUGUGUGAUGGGGCCGGAGCCAGUAAACAGGCUUCCUUCUCGCUCUGCUGUAAGUUUUUCUCUUUCUCCCUUUUCACCCAAGAAGUUCCGUUUUUCCUACCCUUCUACGUGUCCGCGAGUCUAAUCUUUUCUGGCCAUAUGACAAGAACCAGGAUUUUCCUACAAUAUAAUUUGUAUAAGAAGAAGAAGUAGGAGAAACAAAAUAAGGAGGAGAAGAAGUAAAAUAAUUUGAGAAGGAAUAUGAAGAUUUUAUUGGUGGAACAGAGAAAGGAAAAGCAGUUAAGAAAACAAAGCUCAAGAAACUGAAACUAGCCUGAGAAGGAAGAUACUGAGUCAGAUGGAGCCAUUUAUAUAUGGAGAUCCAGGAUUUAUAAGAUCCAUACCAUUGAAUUUGAAGUAAGGAUACGAUCAAGCUGAUAAUCCAAAGUGCACUAACUUCUAAGGACGGAAAUGUUUCUCUGGGGCUAUCAUUGCACCCUCGCUCUCUGGAAUUUCGGUAUCAUGAGAACACAUAAGUAAGAGCCAAAAUUCAUAGGGAUUCUGCCUGGAGAGGAACACAGGGAUUCUGAAAUAACCAUGACAUACAUAAGUACCUCCAAUUAUUUGCCUCUCAGACAAAGCCAGCAGCUGUUGAAAUAUGGUAAGAAAAAUGGUUCAGGGGUUUUCCCCCAUGACUCAAGACAAGCAUUUACAUUAUUUACACACUCAAUGUCUCUUCUGACUUAUGAUUGCCUUACAAUCUAUGGAAUAUAUUUAGUGUCCCUGUGGAAGCAAUUAUACAUGAAACAUCAACAUAUAUUUAUAUAGUAGACAGCACUUUCAUAGGUCCCUGCAGUGUAUUUUAACAGUAGUGGAAACUAAAGUUUUGGUGUAAUGUGUUUUUAUCUAUCAUUCAGAUCAAAGAAUACCCAGUACUUGAAAAGUUUAGAAAGCAGUUGAAAGUUACAUAGAGAUGUAGAAAGCAUUAAAGUGGUAGAAAUUAAUUAAAAGUCUUAGAAUAUAUGAGCUGUAAUUAGACUGGGUUUUAAUGUUUAGUUUGUUAAUAUUUAAAUAUAAACCUCACAAUGGAACUUGGCAAUUUAAGAGAUUUACAGAUAAUUUAUCCUUAAAAGUAUGAAGGAUGUCUGUUACUCAAAUAUCCAUCCCAUUAAAUUGAAAAGUUUUAAGUAUUGAUUCUUCUGUAAAUAAUAGAAGACUCCAUUAAAUUCCUUUACAGUUCUGUACAUCUAGACUAAAAUGAAACACCAAAAUAUGAAAUUAUCUCAAAAUGAAAACAUCUCAAAAUUGAGGAAUUUACUUUCCUACAAUUUGGAAAUUUUUGAUAAUUAAAAAAACAGUUAUAGCAUGAAAAGCAAAUAGGAAGAGUACUUGUAUAUUCACUGACAUUAAAGCCUUCUUCAAAUAUAUUACUAAAGAGAAAGAUAGGUAUUGAUUGAUAUGAGCUUCAGGUAAUAUUUUGCCUACAGCAUGUCUCCAAAAAUCUACUAGAUUUUUAAAGUAGUGUAAUCUAUUCAAUAAAGUUAGCUAUUUGGAUGUUAGUCUCUCCGUAUGCCAAGGAAAAAAGUGUUACUAUCUACCUAUAUAACUGAGUUUAAUAAGUAAAUAAAGAGAUCAUUCUUUUAAGAUACGUUAAAUGUUUCGGGUUCAUGAUAACAUUUGUUGCAUGACAUUAAACCACAACAACGGAAAAAA